rnacentral:rRNA from 1 species
AUACGGAGGGUGCAAGCGUUAUUCGGAAUCACUGGGCGUAAAGGGUGCGUAGGCGGUUUGAUAAGUCUGAUGUGAGAUCCUAUGGCUCAACCAUAGAACUGCAUUGGAAACUGUCAGACUAGAAUACUGAAGGGGCAGAUGGAAUUAGUGGUGUAGGGGUAAAAUCCGUAGAUAUCACUAGGAAUACCGAAAGCGAAAGCGAUCUGCUGGGAAGUUAUUGACGCUGAGGCACGAAAGCGUGGGGAGCAAACGGGAUUAGAAACCCUAGUAGUCC